rnacentral:piRNA from 1 species
UNGAUAGCAAGAUAAGGGUGGAUGGCGGC